UGAAUGUGGAUAAUUGUCAGCAUAUGGCAAAGGUAAAAACUAACUAGCUUUUAUAAGAUUUUUUUUUUCAUACAUGAUUCAAUUAAAUAAAAAUUUAAACAUAGUUUACAAAGCUAGGUACCAUUUGACCAUUAGUAAGGAGAGGGACUUGGGGCGAAGGAUGAUGACGGUCGGGAGGGAGAUUAGGAUCAUAGUGAAACAUAGAUUCAGGUCCUCCAAAACCACCACGGUGCUGUAUAUCGUGUCUGUUGCUAUUCUUUCCAUCAAAAUUGAACUUGUUCAAAUCAUCAAUGUCAUCUUCUUCAUCAUCCUUUUAAGAUACUUAAAUAUUUUAUUAUUGUAUUGAGGGUAGACUUGAUUUCCUUAUCUAUGCUUAUUAUACUCGUAACAAGUUCUACAAAUAGGGAAAGCACACUCAUUGCAGGCCAUAAAAAGCUCUUCAUACACCAUAAGCUCCACAUCAUCUCCAUAAAUGGAUGCAACAAAAAAUUAACAAUAAAAUGUGGAAUUGAGAUAAGAAAAAAGAGAGAGUAGGGAAAGGUAAAUAAUUGCUUAAUUCAAGAGGAAAAGAAGAAGGCACAUUUUUUUUAUUACUAAUAAUGAAAUAUAUGGUUUUUUUCAUCAGGAAAUGAACAUGCAGGGAAUUAAAGAAUUAUCCACUUUUUUACAGAGGCUUUAAGUCACCCUACAAAAUAGAGAUUCUACCAAUAAAUGCUUCAAAUACUAUAACCAAUACCCAAAUUUAUAGAGACUGACUACUAAUAACAAAAAAGCAACCCAUUUCUUUACAAAGUAAACUUUAACAGUACGCAUAGAGUAAAGUAAACCAAUUGAAAAGGUAAAGCAAUGAUUGAAAACAACAACUUAUAUGUUUGGUGUCUAGAGGUGAUCGGCUUCUCGUUUUGGUGAAGAGAUGUGUGGCGGUUGGUUAUGCAACAACAAAGAGAACGAGAGGUUAUGGGUCUGCUACAGUAUUUAUAUUUCAAAUGAAAAUGUAAACUUGGUACUAAAAUCAUCAUGAUAUUAUCAAUUUUAGUACGAGUUUAUGUUUUCAGUUCGAUUUUAUCAGUUUUUACGUUCUUAAGAUUAUUUUGCAUUAUUUCAACAACCUUACUUCCAUGUUAGACGCCAACAUGUUAAAGUACAACUCAAACAAAGGGUGAUUGGUUUCAUAAGAUUUAUGCUGGCUUCUAGUUGUAAAUGCUCUUGCCUAGUCUUCUAAUCCAAUCUUUCAAAAACAAAGUCAACAGAUACUAGAAAAUUAGGGUGCAUUCAUACAUGCAAGAAUUUGUGAAUUCAUAAAAGCAUGCUCCAUGUAUGCAUCAACAGAUGAUGGUUGAUUGGUGAUAUUAGUGAUGGUCGGCGGAAGAGAAAGAAAGAAGAGGGGCGACUAUGGUCGAAGAGGAAAAUGUAAACGAGAAAAAGAAGAAAAUUUAUUACUUUUAUAAUUUCAACAUUCAAUGCAUAUGUAGUUAUUAAUUGGAAAAUAAUGGUAAUUAUAUAAAUAAUUUAAACUAUUUUAUUGACUUCUUUCAUGAGAAUUAUGUAAAACAAUACAACAUUUGAAAAUAUUUGGCCCUAGAUGUAAACUAUAAUUUCCAAAAUAAUAGAGAUAAGGUAAAAAAUGACUAAUCUAUAGAAAGAUCAGGUAUUUUUCUCAUUAUAUAUUUACAACUCCUCUUAUAUAUUUUAUCAAAAACUACAAAUACAUCAAUUUUUGCUAGCCUACAUCUUCACAUAGAUUAAGCUCGUCAAAUUCUCUUGCAAUCAAAAGUAGAUAAGCCAACGCCACGCAUGCUCCUAGUCAAGAUGCUUCUCACCAUCUUAGAAGUUACGUAGACUAAAGAACAACUCCUUCCAAAACCUCAUUGGCUAGAUGUUUUAUUGUAAUUAGAAGAUCAUUAAUGGCCAAUAAUGAUGUCUCGUUGACCAUUAUUUGAUCAUUAUACAAACUAUUUUUGAUAGCAUUACCAUAGUCUCUCUAGAACUUAUAAUAAUGCAUUUUAUUCAUGAGAAAAAUAGAUAAAUAAAAGAGUUAUAUUAUUACAAAACCAUGUAUUGUAAAUGAAUAUGGUCAAUAAAAAGUCUUAACUUAACCCUUUAAAACUUUCAUAUGGAUGAUCAUAGAAGGUAAAUCUAGCAUGGUUGGCACCUUUGAGAAAUAUUAUGGUGAACUCUGCUUUUAUAGCUGCCAAUCAAAAACUAUUUUAGGAUUAAGAAUACUGAAAGUGCCAUAGGUUGUGUAGAUGCCUAAAUCUGCCAAGUCUCUUCUCUGUACAAUACCAUCACCACUCAAAAAUUUGAACAUACAAUACAAUUAUUCACAUGGCUAAGUUAAAUCAAUGUAUCAUCGGAGAGAGAAAGGGUGAUUUUUAUAUAGAGAAAGAAAAGAAGUAGAAGGAGAAAGAGGAGUUAAAAAAGGGGAAACGGUGAAAAAAUGUCAAGAGAUAUUUUGUGCUUUUCAUCAAAAUUUGAAUAUGGUGUUGACCCGGUAUGUAAAGUGUAAUUUAAAAAAAAAUAAAGGAAAAGUAUAAGCAUGCUCAAAUGUGAGGAGGGUCAAAGUAAUUUUCCUUUUAAAAUAUUUAGUCAUGUCAAAUAUAAAGGUUAUCUACAUUCCUUUUGUUGGGUUUCCCAAAACACAUACACGCAGAAGAAACGAUAAAUUUAGAUUUCUUUAGGAGUCUAAAGAUUUUGUUAGACAGAUCUAGAGUUGUUUAGGGUUUAUACGAAAAUUAUCUAAAGAUCAAAUAUUUUUUUUCAUCUUUGAAUAUUUCCUUUAAGGUUAGGUUGUCACAAACCACAUGUCAUCUAAGUGUUCGACCUUUAACGGUAAUCCACAUGAACUAUCAAUGAGAAAUCUCCUAAACAUAUUUAGGAGAGAGGGAUUGUUAUACCUUAGAAUGCUAGCUCUUUUCUUUUGUGUUUUAGGUGUUUAAGUACUGUACUUUUCUCACCCUUCUCCUUUUCUUUCAUAGGAAAUAAGAGACAUAUCUUCAUAUUUUAUAAGAAACCUAACAAACCCUAUAAAUGAAAAAAUAUUAAUUUGCCCCUUAAAUAAUAUCAUAUAUAUUAUUUUAGUAUAAUAUUAGAAAUUUAUUCAAUAAAGUUCUUAUUUGAUUUUUCUAGGUCUAGAAUUGUAAUCCCCUAUAUUAAUUACAUUUUAAUCCUCAAUUUCUAAAAUUUAUUGACAAUCAAGUCAUAUUUCAUUAAUUGUACCAUUUUAAUUUAUGACCAAUGGUUCUUAUGUGUAUGAUCCAUUAGGUUCCCUAAUAAGUUGGCCUAAACAUAAAACAUAAUCCUAAAUAAAAUAGAUUGAAUAAAUUAAAUAAUUUGAUUUAUUAUCAAUUCAAUAAUUGAUUAAUUUAUAUUUGAAGAUCAAGUACAAUAUCUAGCAACCUGUCAUGAUCUCCAAAAUAUUAGAAAAGUUAUAAGUGGCUUGACUUAACCUUUUAGUGACUAGUUUCUUAGUGUAAUUAUUAUCCCUUCAUUAUGAAUGAUCUAAUUUAAAUGUUAUAGCAUAAAGUAUAUCUUCUUUGUUAAAUCAUUUUAGUUCUCAAUAUAAUAAUCAUUGAUUAUUUGAAUAAGAUUUUGAAACUUUUUUCAAAACUCAUUCUACCUUAGCCAAUGAUUUUACAAUCAAUACAAUUAAGAACAUAUAGAAUAUUUUUUCUAAUUCACCUAAGAUGAUGAAUCCUCUAUUGAUCACUUAAAUACCUCCAUAUAUUUUACGAUAUUCUCAAUAUCUACUCAUUUGUUACCCUUGAUUAGGACAACAUGUGGUGACGAUCAAAGUAUAACACUUUCUAUAUAAGAUUACUUAGUGAUCUCAAGUCUAAGGAUCACUUACACAAUUAUUACAAGAGCCUUUCCAUAAAUAUAGGUAAUCUCUCCAUAUGAGAUUCUCUUGUGGGUCAGUUCAGUAUACAUGUCAUAUGACAAGCACCUGCAUAUUAGUUUCAGGUAUCGCUCGUACCUUAGUUUAUGAGAGCAACUGCUUGCUUUCAUAAAAGAAGGAACACAAUAUGCAGAAGUCUUAACAACUCUAAUUAAUGUUCAAAUCUUAAUAGAAAAUUGACCAAGAACAUUUAGAAAUAAUAUUUUGAUACAAUAGGAAUCUCAUAAUUAUAAAAAUUUUAUAAUUUUCUUUGUAAAAUAUUUUUUUUGUUCUAUGAACUUUAUCUUUACUUUAUUCAUAAUUCCAGGAACACUAGAAUCAUUAAUUUUUUGUAAUCGUAUUCUGAGGCAGAGCGGGAAAAUACUUUUUCAAUUUUUCAAAAGUGGUGUCCAUUUUCAACUGAGAAUUGGGGGAGAGAUUCAAAGAAAGCAGAAAGAGCAAAGAAUUGCACAAAUAUAUACACAGAUAUCAGUUAUCAUGGGAAACUGAAAGAACCGACUUAAGAGUCACGGAGUACCGUUAUCCGCCAUUUGACCGGGGUGAGAGACUAGCAAAACAAAAGUCACACAAAAACAAUGUGAGAAAAAGAAUCAAUCUUUAUAUACAGGAUCACCCAAUUCAAUAGAGUCAUUUUCAACUGAAAAAUUGUCAAAAUAAACUUUCAAACGAUGGCCAUUUACCUUGAAAACAUUACCAUUCUUUGGAUUUUCGAUAUCACAGGCCCCAUAUGGAUACACAUGUUUCACAAUAAAAGGACCGUUCCAUCUUGAUCUUAGUUUUCCAGGAAAUAAAUGGAGUCGAGAAUUAUAAAGCAAGACUUUUUGACCAACAUUGAAUGUUUUUCUCAGUAUUUUCUUGUUAUGAAACUCUUUGAUUCUUGCUUUAUGAAUUCUUGAAUUGUCAUAUGCAUCAUUUCUUAUUUCCUCAAGCUCAUUUAUUUGCAAUUUUCGCAGCUGACUAGCAUCAUCAAUGUUUGAAUUGAAAGCUUUAAUAACCCAAUAAGCUUUAUGUUCAAUUUCCACAGGCAAGUGACAAGGUUUUCCAUAUACUAGUCUAUAAGGUGACAUACCUAAUGAUGUUUUAUAUGCAGUUUGAUAAGCCCAAAGUGCAUCAUUAAGUCUUAAAGACCAGUCUUUCCGAUUAGGGUUCACCGUUUUCUCUAAGAUCUGUUUGAUCUCCCUAUUAGCAAGUUCUACCUGUCCACUCGUCUGAGGGUGAUAAGGGGUGGAAACUUUGUGUGUGAUUCCAUAUUUCUUCAUUAAAGAAUCAAAUGGCUUGUUGCAGAAAUGUGUUCCACCAUCACUUAUCAUGGCUCGAGGGAUUCCAAAUCGACUUAAAAUGUUUUCUUUCAAAAACUUUAUCACUGUUUUGUGAUCAUUGGUUCGACUUGGAAUUGCCUCUAUCCAUUUUGAAACAUAAUCUACUGCGACCAAUAUAUACAAGAAACCAAAUGAUGGAGGAAAUGGACCCAUAAAAUCUAUACCCCAACAGUCAAAGAUCUCAAUGACAAGAAUAGGAUUUAAAGGCAUCAUGUGACGUUUUGAAAUAGAUCCCAACUUUUGACAAUUUUCACAAGUCUUGCAGAAUGCAUGUGAGUCUUUGAACAUGGUGGGCCAGUAAAAUCCACUUUGUAAGAUUUUUGCAGUUGUCUUUCUUGAUGAGAAAUGACCCCCACAUGCCUCAGAAUGACAAAAUUUAAUGACACUACUUACCUCAUUGUCAGGAAUGCAUCUUCGAAAUAUUUGAUCAGGACAAUAUUUGAAUAAAUAAGGGUCAUCCCAAUAAAAGUUCUUCACUUCGUUCAAGAACUUUCUUUUGUCUUGGGUACUCCAAUGAACUGACAAUUGUUC
rnacentral:lncRNA from 1 species